GUGCCAGCCGCCGCGGUAAUACAGAGGGUGCAAGCGUUAAUCGGAAUUACUGGGCGUAAAGCGAGCGUAGGUGGCUUGAUAAGUCAGAUGUGAAAUCCCCGGGCUUAACCUGGGAACUGCAUCUGAAACUGUUAGGCUAGAGUAGGUGAGAGGGAAGUAGAAUUUCAGGUGUAGCGGUGAAAUGCGUAGAGAUCUGAAGGAAUACCGAUGGCGAAGGCAGCUUCCUGGCAUCAUACUGACACUGAGGCUCGAAAGCGUGGGUAGCAAACAGGAUUAGAUACCCUGGUAGUCCACGCCGUAAACGAUGUCUACUAGUCGUUGGGUCCCUUGAGGACUUAGUGACGCAGCUAACGCAAUAAGUAGACCGCCUGGGGAGUACGGCCGCAAGGUUAAAACUCAAAUGAAUUGACGGGGGCCCGCACAAGCGGUGGAGCAUGUGGUUUAAUUCGAUGCAACGCGAAGAACCUUACCUGGUCUUGACAUACACAGAAUCUUGUAGAGAUACGAGAGUGCCUUCGGGAAUUGUGAUACAGGUGCUGCAUGGCUGUCGUCAGCUCGUGUCGUGAGAUGUUGGGUUAAGUCCCGCAACGAGCGCAACCCUUGUCCUUAGUUACCAGCACUUCGGGUGGGAACUCUAAGGAUACUGCCAGUGACAAACUGGAGGAAGGCGGGGACGACGUCAAGUCAUCAUGGCCCUUACGACCAGGGCUACACACGUGCUACAAUGGUAGGUACAGAGGGCAGCUACACAGCGAUGUGAUGCGAAUCUCAAAAAGCCUAUCGUAGUCCAGAUUGGAGUCUGCAACUCGACUCCAUGAAGUAGGAAUCGCUAGUAAUCGCGGAUCAGAAUGCCGCGGUGAAUACGUUCCCGGGCCUUGCACACACCGCCCGUC
rnacentral:rRNA from 1 species